UACGUAGGGUGCGAGCGUUGUCCGGAAUUAUUGGGCGUAAAGAGCUCGUAGGCGGUCUGUCGCGUCUGCUGUGAAAACUCGGAGCUUAACUCCGAGCCUGCUUCCGAUACGGGCAGACUAGAGGGUAGGCAGGGGGAGAGCGGAACUCCUGGUGUAGCGGUGGAAUGCGCAGAUAUCAGGAGGAAACACCGGUGGCGAAGGCGGGGAUCCUGGGGCCAGUACUGACGCUGAGGAGCGAAAAGCGUGGGGGAGCAAACAGGG
rnacentral:rRNA from 1 species